rnacentral:rRNA from 1 species
UUGGUCGGUUGCACUCGGCGGUGUCCUCGAACGGGCCCUGCUUUAAAACAUACCCGUCGGCGACGCUACUGCUUUGGGUACUUUCAGGACCCGUCUUGAAACACGGACCAAGGAGUCUAACAUGUGCGCGAGUCAUUGGGACUUGAAACAAAGCCUAAAGGCGCAAUGAAAGUAAAGGUCCGCUUUAUGCGCGACCGAGGGAGGAUGGCUCCCGCCACGACGCGGAGCCCGCACUCCCGGGGCGUCUCGUGCUCAUUGCGAGCUGAGGCGCACCCAGAGCGUACACGUUGGGACCCGAAAGAUGGUGAACUAUGCCUGGUCAGGACGAAGUCAGGGGAAACCCUGAUGGAGGUCCGUAGCGAUU